CUGUCGCUGUAAGAAUAAAAAUAAACUCAACUGAAUCUUUGUUCAUUUUUAUGUCUGAGACAAUGUUAUGUUGAAGUACGCCACAGCCCACGGUUUCUUGGGUAAUAUAGAACAUAUCGGUUGCCAUGGAGACCCUUGCUUUAAAAUGGAUCACAGAAAAAGGUACCAGUACAGACCAAGCAUCACGUGACAUGUUUUAAACUGAAAAGGUUGUUCAGAUAACUGCCGUGUUGUAACAGACUUGGUUAUUAUAGUCUACAGAUGAUUGGCCAUAACACAUGUUUUAAACUGAAAAGGUUGUUCAGAUAACUGCCGUGUUGUAACAGACUUGGUUAUUAUAGUCUACAGAUGAUUGGCCAUAACAUGUUUUAAACUGAAAAGGUUGUUCAGAUAACUGCCGUGUUGUAACAGACUUGGUUAUUAUAGUCUACAGAUGAUUGGCCAUAACAUGUUUUAAACUGAAAAGGUUGUUCAGAUAACUGCCGUGUUGUAACAGACUUGGUUAUUAUAGUCUACAGAUGAUUGGCCAUAACAUGUUUUAAACUGAAAAGGUUGUUCAGAUAACUGACGUGUUGUAACAGACUUGGUUAUUAUAGUCUACAGAUGAUUGGCCAUAACAUGUUUUAAACUGAAAAGGUUGUUCAGAUAACUGACGUGUUGUAACAGACUUGGUUAUUAUAGUCUACAGAUGAUUGGCCAUAACACACGUUUUAAACUGAAAAGGUUGUUCAGAUAACUGCCGUGUUGUAACAGACUUGGUUAUUAUAGUCUACAGAUGAUUGGCCAUAACAUGUUUUAAACUGAAAAGGUUGUUCAGAUAACUGACGUGUUGUAACAGACUUGGUUAUUAUAGUCUACAGAUGAUUGGCCAUAACACAUGUUUUAAACUGAAAAGGUUGUUCAGAUAACUGACGUGUUGUAACAGACUUGGUUAUUAUAGUCUACAGAUGAUUGGCCAUAACAUGUUUUAAACUGAAAAGGUUGUUCAGAUAACUGACGUGUUGUAACAGACUUGGUUAUUAUAGUCUACAGAUGAUUGGCCAUAACACAUGUUUUAAACUGAAAAGGUUGUUCAGAUAACUGACGUGUUGUAACAGACUUGGUUAUUAUAGUCUACAGAUGAUUGGCCAUAACACACGUUUUAAACUGAAAAGGUUGUUCAGAUAACUGACGUGUUGUAACAGACUUGGUUAUUAUAGUCUACAGAUGAUUGGCCA